CAGAGAGACAGGUGGACAUAGACAGGUGGACAGAGAGACAGGAAGACAGAGACGGGUGGACAGAGAGACGUGUGGACAUAGACAGGUGGAGAGAGACGGGUGGACAGAGACAGGUGGACAGAGAGACAGGUGGACAUAGACAGGUGGAGAGAGACGGGUGGACAGAGAGACAGGUGGACAGAGAUGGACACCAGUGAACCACCAAUCAUCUCAUAGGAACAGAUGUGACCAGAAG